rnacentral:rRNA from 1 species
CCUACGGGGGGCUGCAGUGGGGAAUAUUGGACAAUGGGGGCAACCCUGAUCCAGCCAUGCCGCGUGUGUGAAGAAGGCCCUCGGGUUGUAAAGCACUUUCAGUGAGGAAGAACGCCUGGUGGUUAAUACCCAUCAGGAAAGACAUCACUCACAGAAGAAGCACCGGCUAACUCCGUGCCAGCAGCCGCGGUAAUACGGAGGGUGCGAGCGUUAAUCGGAAUUACUGGGCGUAAAGCGCGCGUAGGUGGCUUGAUAAGCCGGUUGUGAAAGCCCGGGCUCAACCUGGGAACGGCAUCCGGAACUGUCAAGCUAGAGUGCAGGAGAGGAAGGUAGAAUUCCCGGUGUAGCGGUGAAAUGCGUAGAGAUCGGGAGGAAUACCAGUGGCGAAGGCGGCCUUCUGGACUGACACUGACACUGAGGUGCGAAAGCGUGGGUAGCAAACAGGAUUAGAUACCCCUGUAGUC